rnacentral:rRNA from 1 species
UACGUAGGGUGCGAGCGUUAAUCGGAAUUACUGGGCGUAAAGUGUGCGCAGGCGGCUUCGCAAGUCGAGUGUGAAAUCCCCGAGCUUAACUUGGGAAUUGCGCUCGAAACUACGUGGCUUGAGUGUGGCAGAGGAAGGUGGAAUUCCACGUGUAGCGGUGAAAUGCGUAGAGAUGUGGAGGAACACCGAUGGCGAAGGCAGCCUUCUGGGCCAACACUGACGCUCAUGCACGAAAGCGUGGGGAGCAAACAGG